AUAAUGGGUCAGCGACUUAUAUUCUGUAGCAAGGUUAACCGAAUAGGGGAGCCGAAGGGAAACCGAGUCUUAACUGGGCGUUAAGUUGCAGGGUAUAGACCCGAAACCCGGUGAUCUAGCCAUGGGCAGGUUGAAGGUUGGGUAACACUAACUGGAGGACCGAACCGACUAAUGUUGAAAAAUUAGCGGAUGACUUGUGGCUGGGGGUGAAAGGCCAAUCAAACCGGGAGAUAGCUGGUUCUCCCCGAAAGCUAUUUAGGUAGCGCCUCGUGAAUUCAUCUCCGGGGGUAGAGCACUGUUUCGGCAAGGGGGUCAUCCCGACUUACCAACCCGAUGCAAACUGCGAAUACCGGAGAAUGUUAUCACGGGAGAC
rnacentral:rRNA from 1 species